CCUACGGGUGGCAGCAGUGGGGGAUAUUGCACAAUGGGGGAAACCCUGAUGCAGCGACGCCGCGUGGGUGAAGAAGUAUUUCGGUAUGUAAAGCCCUAUCAGCAGGGAAGAAAGAAGACGGUACCUGACUAAGAAGCCCCGGCUAACUACGUGCCAGCAGCCGCGGUAAUACGUAGGGGGCGAGCGUUAUCCGGAUUCACUGGGUGUAAAGGGAGCGUAGACGGCCAUGCAAGCCAGGAGUGAAAGCCCGGGGCCCAACCCCGGGACUGCUCGUGGAACUGUGCGGCUGGAGUGCGGGAGGGGCAGGCGGAAUUCCUGGUGUAGCGGGGAAAUGCGUAGAUAUCAGGAGGAACACCGGCGGCGAAGGCGGCCUGCUGGACCGCGACUGACGUUGAGGCUCGAAAGCGUGGGGAGCGAACAGGAUUAGAUACCCCAGUAGUC
rnacentral:rRNA from 1 species